AUAAUCCACGAUCAACCUUACCACCCCUUGCCAUUCAGCCUAUAUACCGCCGUCUCCAGCUUACCUUGUGAAAGCCUAAAAGUAAGCAAAAUAGCUCUUACAGCUAGAAAGUCAGGUCCAGGUGUAGCCGAUGGGGUGGAUGCAAUGGGCUACAUUUUCUAAAAUAGAAAUAUUCACGGACAGACCAUUGAAAUAUGGACUGACAAGUCGGAUUUAGCAGUAAUCUAGGAGUAGAAAACCUACAUUAAGCCG
rnacentral:rRNA from 1 species